UACGUAGGGACCAAGCGUUGUCCGGAAUCAUUGGGCGUAAAGAGCGUGUAGGCGGCCAGGUAGGUCCGUUGUGAAAACUCGAGGCUCAACCUCGAGACGUCGGCGGAAACCCUCUGGCUAGAGUCCGGAAGAGGAGAGUGGAAUUCCUGGUGUAGCGGUGAAAUGCGCAGAUAUCAGGAAGAACACCCGUGGCGAAGGCGGCUCUCUGGGACGGUACUGACGCUGAGACGCGAAAGCGUGGGGAGCAAACAGG
rnacentral:rRNA from 1 species